CCUUUGACGUUAGCGGCGGACGGGUGAGUAACACGUGGGUAACCUACCUAUAAGACUGGGAUAACUUCGGGAAACCGGAGCUAAUACCGGAUAAUAUUUCGAACCGCAUGGUUCGAUAGUGAAAGAUGGUUUUGCUAUCACUUAUAGAUGGACCCGCGCCGUAUUAGCCAGUUGGUAAGGUAACGGCUUACCAAGGCGACGAUACGUAGCCGACCUGAGAGGGUGAUCGGCCACACUGGAACUGAGACACGGUCCAGACUCCUACGGGAGGCAGCAGGC
rnacentral:rRNA from 1 species